GCAAGCGUUGUUCGGAAUUACUGGGCGUAAAGGGCUCGUAGGUGGCCAACUAAGUCAGACGUGAAAUCCCUCAGCUUAACUGGGGAACUGCGUCUGAUACUGGAUGGCUUGAGUUUGGGAGAGGGAUGCGGAAUUCCAGGUGUAGCGGUGAAAUGCGUAGAUAUCUGGAGGAACACCGGUGGCGAAGGCGGCAUCCUGGACCAACACUGACACUGAGGAGCGAAAGCCAGGGGAGCAAACGGG
rnacentral:rRNA from 1 species